ACUGCUUAGCGGUGUUAUUAUGCUUGUUAUCUGCAUUUCACCAUAGGAUUCAUGGUAAAGAUUAUGAAAGGGGAUUACUAAGAUACCGAUAUAUAACGUGAAUUUUAAGCGAUAAUGGAAAAUGACAAGCACUAAUCGGCAUAAAUUGAGUUUUAGUGAAUCUAAAUGCUGUAAAGGGCUUAUGAUGAUUUGUAUCUUUUAACCUCUUCAGGUAUGGGACGAGAUGUUACCGUUUUGAUCUAUCUUGAUGUUAGAAAAGCUUUGGAAGAAGGCAUGAAGCUUUACAUUUCAGACAACAAAGUGAUAUUGACUGAGGGUUUUGAUGGGGUGGUACCUGUCAAGUGCUUUGAGAAAAUAGAAUCAUGGCCAGAUAGAAAACCUAUACCUUUCACAAAUGUUUAAAAUUGGAUGAUGAAAUGAUCAGUUUUUUUUUUUUUUUCUCUCUUUUAAACCUGUGAUGACAAAUUUGUAUUGGAUCUUAUAAAAUUCAUUUAGUUUGAUAUUACAUCCUUGGCAUCCAUUUCUCUCCAACUUUCCAUGAUGUUUAUGGUCGUGAUUUGUUUUUGUUAUAAUUGUGUUUUAAAGGUAUCAUGAUCGUGUUGUGUUUUUGUUUCAUAAUUGCGUUUGAGGUAUUCAAGAAGGUAUCCAGCAGGUCAUGGAGGAAAAGGAAGAUUCUUCUAAAGCACAGCAAGAAGGCAGUACUGAUAAAAAUUCAACUUGAUGGCUGAUAAGUGCAUAAUCGGAGAUGCAUGUGAGUACUUCUCCAGCAUACCUAUUGUAGAUACAAGUUUAGAGAUUUGGUGGAGCUGGCCUGGCAUGAAAUCACAAGAAUGAUACAUGUCCUGAGAAUCUUCCUGUAUUGAGAAAGUGACCUUUAGAAACUACAAAUAUAAUGGGUAUCUCCAUUGACAAUGUUGAUGCCCUUUUCCUAUUUAUAUGCAUAUAUAUAUUAAUGAA